rnacentral:rRNA from 1 species
CGAGCGCAACCCUUAUCCUUUGUUGCCAGCGGUCCGGCCGGGAACUCAAAGGAGACUGCCAGUGAUAAACUGGAGGAAGGUGGGGAUGACGUCAAGUCAUCAUGGCCCUUACGACCAGGGCUACACACGUGCUACAAUGGCGCAUACAAAGAGAAGCGACCUCGCGAGAGCAAGCGGACCUCAUAAAGUGCGUCGUAGUCCGGAUUGGAGUCUGCAACUCGACUCCAUGAAGUCGGAAUCGCUAGUAAUCGUGGAUCAGAAUGCCACGGUGAAUACGUUCCCGGGCCUUGUACACACCGCCCGUCACACCAUGGGAGUGGGUUGCAAAAGAAGUAGGUAGCUUAACCUUCGGGAGGGCGCUUACCACUUUGUGAUUCAUGACUGGGGUGAAGUCGUAACAAGGUAACCGUAGGGGAACCUGCGGUUGGAUCAC